rnacentral:rRNA from 1 species
AUAAAUAAGCGGUGGAAAAGAAACCAACAGGGAUUCCCUCAGUAGCUGCGAGCGAACAGGGAAGAGCCCAGCGCCGAAUUCCGCGUCCGAAAGGGCGUCUGGAACAUGUGGCGUUUAGGAGGAAUCUCUCCGAGGGCAGACGGUGUCGCAAGUCCCCCUGAACGGGGCUGUGAUCCAGAGCGGGUGCGAGGCCCAUAGCUGGUACCGUCUCCUUCGGGUGUCGCCUCCUUGGAGUCGGGUUGCUUGGGAGUGCAGCCCUAAUUGGGUGGUAAACUCCACCUAAGGCUAAAUACGUCCGUGAGACCGAUAGCAAACAAGUACCGUGAGGGAAAGUUGCAAAGAACUUUGAAGAGAGAGUUCAAGAGUACGUGAAACCGCUCAGAGGCAAACGGGUGGGCCCACGAAAGCCGAAGGCGGGGGGAUUCAGUCGAGAGGACGGCGGGGCAAGACUGGCUGGUCGGACGGACCGUGCCAGGCCGGGUCAGUUCCCGAGAUCCGUCGCCUUUCGACGCACUUCCCUCUGCUUAGUAGGACGCCGCAACCGGUCGGUGCUGCAGCCAUAAGGGAGAGUAUUCGGAAGGUAGCCAGCGAGUUCUUCUUCGGAGGCGCAAGCUGGUCCUAAGCCCGCUCCCCUGGUGCUUGUGGUCCGACCGUGGUCAGAGUCCCUGAACGGGAUGUUGCCGAGCCCUCCGUAUGGAGUGGGAGAGACUGCAGGCCACCUUCUGUGACGUUGCUUCACGCAUGCAGUGUGCAAGCGUUCGGAGGUGACUGCUGGCCUGUCUUUUCCCGCGCCGGGCACAGGCAGUUGGCGGCGAGUAGGUCGGUCACCCACCCGACCCNNNNNNNNNNNAAGCCCAAAGGCGCAAUGAAAGUGAACACCAGCACUGAAGCUGGUGGAGUUGGGAAACUGCGUCGANGACGGCGCGGUUGCACCAACGGCCCGUCCCGUCCGCAUCGUCGGUGGGGCGGAGCGAGAGCGUACACGUUGGGACCCGAAAGAUGGUGAACUAUGCCUGGGCAGGACGAAGCCAGAGGAAACUCUGGUGGAGGUCCGCAGCGGUUCUGACGUGCAAAUCGAUCGUCAGACCCGGGUAUAGGGGCGAAAGACUAAUCGAACCAUCUAGUAGCUGGUUCCCUCCGAAGUUUCCCUCAGGAUAGCUGGCGUUCGAGGGAGAUCAGUCUCAUCCGGUAAAGCGAAUGAUUAGAGGCCUUGGGGCCGAAACGACCUCAACCUAUUCUCAAACUUCAAAUGGGUGAGAAGUCCGGCUUGCCUGACCGAAGCCCGGACGAAAGGAUGAGAGCGCCCAGUGGGCCACUUUUG